rnacentral:rRNA from 1 species
GACGAACGCUGGCGGCGUGCUUAACACAUGCAAGUCGAACGCUGAAGCUCAGCUUUUGUUGGGUGGAUGAGUGGCGAACGGGUGAGUAACACGUGAGUAACCUGCCUCCUUCUUUGGGAUAACGCCCGGAAACGGGUGCUAAUACUGGAUAUUCACUGGUCUUCGCAUGGGGGUUGGUGGAAAGGGUUUUUCUGGUGGGGGAUGGGCUCGCGGCCUAUCAGCUUGUUGGUGGGGUGAUGGCCUACCAAGGCUUUGACGGGUAGCCGGCCUGAGGGGGUGACCGGUCACAUUGGGACUGAGAUACGGCCCAGACUCCUGCGGGAGGCAGCAGUGGGGAAUAUUGCACAAUGGGCGCAAGCCUGAUGCAGCGACGCCGCGUGAGGGAUGGAGGCCUUCGGGUUGUGAACCUCUUUCGCUCAUGGUCAAGCCGCAACAAUGGUUGUGGUGAGGGUAGUGGGUAAAGAAGCGCCGGCUAACUACGUG